CUGCGAGUGAAGCGGGAAAAGCUCAAAUUUAAAAUCUGGCGGUCCUUGGCCGUCCGAGUUGUAAUCUAGAGAAGUAUUACCCGCGCUGGACCGUGUACAAGUCUCCUGGAAUGGAGCGUCAUAGAGGGUGAGAAUCCCGUCUCUGACACGGACUACCAGGGCUUUGUGGUAUGCUCUCAAAGAGUCGAGUUGUUUGGGAAUGCAGCUCAAAAUGGGUGGUAAAUUCCAUCUAAAGCUAAAUAUUGGCGAGAGACCGAUAGCGAACAAGUACCGUGAGGGAAAGAUGAAAAGAACUUUGGAAAGAGAGUUAAACAGUACGUGAAAUUGCUGAAAGGGAAACGCUUGAAGUCAGUCACGUCGGCCGGAAAUCAGCCUUGCUUUUUGCUUGGUGUACUUUCCGGUUGACGGGUCAGCAUCAAUUUUGAUCGCUGGAAAAAGGCUUAGGGAAUGUGGCAGCUCCGGCUGUGUUAUAGCCCUUUGUCACAUACAGCGGUUGGGAUUGAGGAACUCAGCACGCCGCAAGGCCGGGUUUCGACCACGUUCGUGCUUAGGAUGCUGGCAUAAUGGCUUUAAGCGACCCGUCUUGAAACACGGACCAAGGAGUCUUACAUGCCUGCGAGUGUUUGGGUGGAAAACCCGAGCGCGCAAUGAAAGUGAAAGUUGAGAUCCCUGUCGUGGGGAGCAUCGACGCCCGGACCAGAACUUUUGGGACGGAUCCGCGGUAGAGCAUGUAUGUUGGGACCCGAAAGAUGGUGAACUAUGCCUGAAUAGGGUGAAGCCAGAGGAAACUUUGGUGGAGGCUCGUAGCGAUUCUGACGUGCAAAUCGAUCGU
rnacentral:rRNA from 1 species